CAGUAGCCACGGGAAAACGUAGGGGGCAAGCGUUGUCCGGAAUUAUUGGGCGUAAAGCGCGCGCAGGCGGUCAUUUAAGUCUGAUGUGAAAGCCCCCGGCUCAACCGGGGAGGGUCAUUGGAAACUGGGAAACUUGAGUGCAGAAGAGGAGAGUGGAAUUCCACGUGUAGCGGUGAAAUGCGUAGAGAUGUGGAGGAACACCAGUGGCGAAAGCGGCUCACUGGACCAUAACUGACGCUGAGGAGCGAAAGCAUGGGGAGCGAACAGGAUUAGAUACCCCCGUAGUCCCUGUCUCUUAUAC
rnacentral:rRNA from 1 species